rnacentral:rRNA from 1 species
AUUGAACGCUGGCGGAAUGCUUUACACAUGCAAGUCGAACGGCAGCACGGACUUCGGUCUGGUGGCGAGUGGCGAACGGGUGAGUAAUGUAUCGGAACGUGCCCAGUCGUGGGGGAUAACGUAGUGAAAAUUACGCUAAUACCGCAUACGAAUUAUGGAUGAAAGCGGGGGAUCGCAAGACCUCGCGCGAUUGGGUCGGCCGAUAAAAAAUUAGGUAGUUGGUGGGGUAAAGGCCCACAAAGCCAACGAUCUGUUGCUGAUCUGAUAGGUCGACCAGACACACUGGAACUAAGACACGAUCCAGACUACUACGGGAGGCAGCAGUGGGGAAUUUUGGACAAUGGGCGAAAGCCUGAUCCAGCCAUUCCGCGUGCAGGAUGAAGGCCCUCGGGUUGUAAACUGCUUUUGUACAGAACGAAAAGGUUUCUACUAAUACUAGGAGCUCAUGACGGUACUGUAAGAAUAAGCACCGGCUAACUACGUGCCAGCAGCCGCAGUAA